rnacentral:misc_RNA from 1 species
UACGAAGGGCGCUAGCGUUGUUCGGAAUUACUGGGCGUAAAGCGCACGUAGGCGUCAAUGCAAGUUAGGGGUGAAAUCCCACAGCUUAACUGUGGAAUUGCCUUUGAAACUGCAUUGCUAGAGUGUCGGAGGGGAUAGCGGAAUUCCUAAUGUAGAGGUGAAAUUCGUAGAUAUUAGGAGGAACACCGGUGGCGAAGGCGGCUAUCUGGACGACAACUGACGCUGAGGUGCGAAAGCGUGGGGAUCAAACAGG